AAAAUCAAAGUAAUCCUUUGGCGCACACAGAAGUACAAAACAAUUUAGAAGCGUAUGCGGUCGCGACUUCGCUUUUCUGGUAGAUACUGGCGGAGUUGGGGAUAGCGGAUUUGAGGACACUCGCUCUAUCUCUGUCUCUAUCUUUCUCUCUCUACAAUCGCAUCUUUUCAAUCGGUAAGUCCUUUGAAUCUCGCGUGACAGAGACACCAACAACUGUCAACAAUUUUAUAGGUUUUCCAUUUCAGUUUCAAUUCUUCGAUUGUGUUCGAUUAUUAGGAUUUCGAUUUCGAGUCCCUCUGUAAAAUUUGGAUCAUCUCCACCACGGAAAGUGAAUAUCUUUGAACAGGUAUACGCAGUUUCACUUUUUAGUUUCAUAUAGUCCUCAGAUCUGCGAUUGAUUCAAUUUAGGGUGUUGGAUUUUUUUUAGCUCUGAAUAUUGGGUUUGAAAUUUUGAUCUGAAUUGGUGGAGUUGGAUUGGUGAUAAUUUAGGGUUAUUGUUUAAUUUGAUAAGCAAAGAUUUUUUGUACGGGCAAUUGGAUUGUUAGGUUUUCAUAUUUAUGGCGGCAGGAAGACGUGGGAAUUUUAGCAAUAACGAAUCCAGAGUCCGUGAGUCCGAAUUUGAGGUGUCAAGGCGGGUUUUUGCUUAUUCUAGGGGAGAAUAUGAUCGGAUUAGGAACGGUGGACUUGAUUAUGAGAGGGAUCAGAUAGGUGACCGGGGUAUGGGUGCCAGGGUUAGGGUUAGGGUUAGACAGAAGGAUAUUAAAGAGAGGGAAGUCAUAAAUGAUGGGUACCACUUGUCUUCAAGUAGGAGUAAUUCAGGGAGCAGUGGUGACGGUGCAGUUAGAGCUGAGGACCGAGAGCCUGGUGAAUUGUCGAGUGAAAGUGGGUCUGAUGAGGCCAUUGAUAUAGAAUCACAUGUUGAAGAUAAUGAGGUUGAUAAGUUAGAGAAUGGGACUCGGUCACAUAUGGAGAGUAAGAAGAGGAAGUUUUCUCCAAUUGUUUGGGACAGAGAUGCUAAGGACACGAGCAAUUCAUCUGAGAGUAGAAUUGCCCCGGUAGCUACUACCUUUCGUCCUCCGCCAUCGCUGCCUAGGUCCUACCGGCAGUCAUCAAAUGUUAUUCUGGACAAGGGUGUAGAAUUUUCUUCCUUGGAAAAUGGUAAGCUUCCAUCCUCAGAAGCUUCACCGGUUGAGCCUACUUUGGCAUUUGGAUCACAUGUAUCUGCUCCAUCUGAAUCUCCACUAGGUUUAUAUUCUUCUUCGCCUGGGGAGCAGCGCUGGGGUAAUUAUCACAAAGCAGAAGAACUAGGAGAUGAAGAAUAUCCACUGAUGCGGAAUAUAUCAGCCUCUCGUUGGGCAGAUGAUGUCAAUUCACCUGCUGUUCGAGGUGAAUUUUCAGAUGAUGAAAAAAUGCCCAAGAAGAGGAAGAAGACGCCUCUUUCUGAGUUAGUUGAAACCAGGUUACAGAAUAAAUCACCGAGUCCUGAGCUUGGGGAGGUUAAGAGAGAAGGCUCUGAAGGAACUACAGUGAGGUCAUCUGAAUCUGAAGAAGGAGGUGUCCGUGUUAGGUCAUCUAGAGGAGAUGAUUACCCUGACAAUGAUUUGGACACUGAUGACUACAUGGAGAUAGACGAGGAACGCUAUAACAAUGGUACUAGUGUUAGCUACUCAGAUGCAGAUUCUGAGGAUGAACGUGGUUCCCUUGAUACGCCAGAGGCUGCUGCCCCCCUACAAAGAAGUGUAAACAUGCUUCAGGGGUGUAGAAGUGUUGAAGAGUUUGAGAGACUGAACAGGAUAAAUGAAGGCACUUAUGGGGUCGUGUACAGAGCAAGAGAUAAGAAAACAGGAGAAAUUGUUGCAUUGAAGAAGGUAAAGAUGGAGAAAGAAAGAGAAGGUUUUCCGAUGACCUCUCUGAGGGAAAUAAACAUACUUCUUUCUUUUCAUCAUCCAUCAGUUGUCGAUGUUAAAGAAGUUGUAGUGGGGAGUAAUCUUGAUAGUAUUUUUAUGGUAAUGGAAUACAUGGAACAUGAUCUCAAGGGACUCAUGGAUACGAUGAAACAGCCAUUUAGUCAGAGUGAAGUUAAAUGCCUAAUGCUUCAGCUAUUGGAGGGUGUCAAGUAUCUUCAUGAUAACUGGGUGCUUCACCGGGAUUUGAAGACAUCAAAUCUGCUUUUAAAUAAUAGGGGUGAGUUGAAGAUUUGUGACUUUGGUUUGGCUCGUCAAUAUGGAAGCCCAUUGAAACCAUAUACUCAUUUGGUUGUUACUCUUUGGUACAGGGCACCCGAGCUUCUGUUGGGAGCAAAACAAUAUUCAAUGGCAAUCGAUAUGUGGUCACUGGGUUGUAUUAUGGCUGAACUGUUAUCGAAGGAACCACUCUUCAACGGGAAAGCAGAGUUUGAACAGCUUGACAAGAUAUUCAGAACCCUUGGCACGCCAAAUGAGACAAUUUGGCCUGGGUUCUCUAAGCUUCCUGGAGUCAAGGUGAAGUUUUGCAAGCAUCAGUAUAAUCUAUUGCGUAGAAAAUUCCCUGCUACAUCUUUUACCGGCUCUCCAGUUCUCUCUGAUUCUGGAUUUGACUUAUUGAACAAGCUUCUAACUUAUGACCCUGAGAAGCGGGUAACAGCUGAGGCUGCUCUUAACCAUGAGUGGUUCCGCGAGAUUCCUCUUCCCAAGUCUAAAGAUUUUAUGCCUACUUUUCCCGCUCAACAUGCACAAGACAGACGAAUGCGAAGGAUAGUGAAGAGUCCAGAUCCUCUGGAAGAGCAACGUCGGAAGGAGUUGCAGCAAGCGGAAUUAGGGACAGGUGGUUUGUUUGGCUAAGAGAAUUUUAUUGGUGCCUAGAUGCAUUUGAUCUUUAUGCUUCAGUUUCUACAGUACUCACAAACUGACAUAGUGAGGUGAGGGCCGUGUGUUGAGAAGAAAUUGUGAAAUUUGUUUGCAAGACGAUCAUUCGUGCUGUUUUUUAGCAGGCACCCUUGAUGAUAUGGUCGAGAAACGGAUUUUUUUCCUUUCUUACUGCAUGCCAGCCCGAUUUCUUGCAGGUUGACUUUGUUCUCAUCUUUGGCCAUUAUAUAGAAAUGCAUAGUGACACUGAAUGCAUCACAAGGUUGGUGUAAUGUGGAGAGGGCAUUCUUAGCUUUUCAUUGAUGACGAAUUUGACAGAAACUAUUGCACUUUGAAGUAUCAGAGCAAGCAGGUUGAGGAGGUUUCCUGCACAUCCUGGAAUAUUUAGAAUUUCCAAUUGUGUUUUCAGUUCUUCAGAAACUGAUUUUGUCCCUUCACGCUCAAUAGAGGUACCAUACAACCCUUGGUUUUGUUAUAAUGUACAUUAAUUAAUAUGAUUUUCAUUUGUUUCUCUUCUAACUUUCCUUUUUAUUCUUCGGAACUCUGUCAGGGUAUAAUUGCAUUUAAUGUCUUGCAUUAGUAAUGCAACCAUUUAUAUUCAAAAGAAAAUUUUAAUGCACUCGAAUGUGUGGAAGGAAUAAGAAAUGGCUUAUCAAUUCCCCUCUUGACUGCACAAUUUUAAGUUUCAAAAUUUUACUAUAGACCACUUUUUUGCCAUUGAUUUCUAAUUGAAGAUCGCAAAACAUGCACGCCAAAUGCUUUUACAAUUUUAUGUGAAAUUGGUUGGAGGAGCAAUGGAAUAGGUUCUUUAUUUUUAUUUUUUUUAUAAUACAUUUUUGAAAUGAUAUCAAAUUUAUUAAAUGUUACAUGUGAUUUAAUAGCUUUGCUCUUAAUAUGAUUUGACUUCACAAAAUGCAUUGUAGUGCAUCCAGGUGGUACCAAGAUCAUCUCUUAACUUUACUGUUAGAGGGGCCUAGGGGCUCUAAGACCAUUGCUUUUAGCGGGAAAAAGAUAAAAGUGAAAUGUUUUUCAUGGGUGCAACUUGGGCUGGGCAGCUUGAACUCAAACCUAGCCCAAGCCCAAGCCGUUGUUUCAUGGGCAACCAUUUUUUGCUUAGAUUGGGCUUGGUGUGAAAAUUUCCAAUUAAAACUUGAUUUGGGUUAGCUAGGCUCAGGUUGAGGUGUCACCACCCUGAACCAAACCUGAAUGGUACAAAUGAGUUUAACCCCAAUUCUGACUUGACUAUUUAUAUAUUUACAAAUUUAUUUAUUAUAAUAUAUUUUCAUAAUCGUGAAGAUCCUUUUUCUUAGUCAUUUUUCCUCCUUGUUUAUUAUUCCUUUGGAAAAUUAAAAUUUUGAGUGUUCAGUUAUAAUCUUUAUGUAUUUAAAUUCAGUUUUUAAACCCAUCUCGAGGCUAACCUCAGAUUAACCCAAUUUUUAGUCUGAUUCUUAUAAUCCAAGCUCAACCCAUUUUUAAAAAUUUAAACAUGAGUUAGGCUUGGUUGGGAUGCUUGGAGUGAAAAUCAGGUUAGGCUGGGCUUGGGUUUUAGGUUUCAUGCCUGGAAUUGAGCUUGUCCACCAAACCUGGCCAUUCUAUUAAUCCCUGAUUCCCAAUUUCAGAUAUGAUGCAAUGAUAUUCCAGAUUGUAGUUAUAUUAUGGGAGGGAGAGAGGGUGGGAGGGAUGAUUUUUUUUAUUUUUUUCAUCUAAUCUUUAUGUGAGAUGGCUCAUAUAUGACCAAUGGUCGGACGGAGGGAGGGAUUUUCAUUUGACAACUAAUCUAUUUGUGGGAGGGCUCAAAUGAGUGCUGCCUGAAGGGAUGUAUAUUUUUUCAUUUUUGAACGAGCCUAUUCGUGGAAGGGCUCAUAUGACCUCUGGAAUUUUCUAUUCUUUUCUUUCUUCCUUUUUAAUCUCACGAGUUCCAAGUAUAUGCAAAAGUCUUAGCUAUUUAAGCUGUUAUCUUUGGUUUGUUGGCGUGAUAAUGUUGUUAUUUUUGUACUACUUACCAUACCUUUUCAUUGUGGUUCUGUGUCCUGCAAGUCCUAGUGUUUGUAUGCAGCCCUUCCAUGCAAUUGGUUUUUCCCUCAACUCUGGAAGUGAUGCACUGCUCUUAACCUUUCUUUUGUAUUUAUAUGGCUUGCUUUAGUGUAAAAGCAGAAUGGUGAAGGAGGCUUCAUUGACACCAAAUAGCUGAUAUCGCGGAUUUUUAUGUGAGAAUUUGGAUUAACUACUUGAAAAACUUUGUUCAGCAUUGGUUUUAUUUGAUCUCCAACUUCACUCUGACAUGCCCUUUGUGAGAUACAUAAUAGCUUAUUAGCUUUAUCUAAGGGGUGCACUGUUUUGUCUGAUCAUGAAAGAUGGUUUAAGUUCCCAACAUCAUUGAUCCACACUAUGGUGUGCCCUUGUGUCAAGAAAUUUUAGGGGUGCUUCAAGUAGUAUGAAUUAUUGAAUUUCGUUAUUUGGUUAAAAUCGAUUUCGAAAUACUCAUAUUUGAUGUACAUCAAAUUAAGCCCGUAUAUUAUGCACAAAACCCACGAAUUGUCCCUACGAUUUUCAUUGUGUUGAAGGCUAGGUCAACAUAAUGAUACAUAUUUAUACUGUUAAGUUCAUGUGGUGCAUAGUUAGACAUACAUUUUAUUCGACUCAGAGUUAUAGUCUAUAAAAAAUAUUUAGUUGCAUCCUCUGUACUGUAUUAUUAUUAUCUUUUGUCAAAAGUCUUGUCCUUAUGCUGAUUAUUUAAAGCCAUCUAUAUUGUAAUUCGUGAAGUAUAAGCAAUUUUUUUCUCAAUGCAACAUUGACCUCCCUUGUGUUGAAUAUUGAUUACUUCACAUGUAAAAUUGUUAUUAUUUUUUUAAUUUCAUAAUUUGGAACUAUUAUUUUUUGCAUAUAAGAUUGGAUUUCCAAUGUAUGUGGUACAUUUAUGGUGGCUCCUAGUUGUCUUUGCAAAUAAAUAUCUGUCAAUUGCUGGAUUAGCAAACAGUUACGCAAGGCUGCACCAUGGGCUGGUUCUGUUAACCAUAGGUUAUUUGGGAUUAAAAAAUCCUGAUCACACUCGCUUAAUUCGGGACCUUUAGCUCAUUGAGAUCAAUCCUCGAGUACUUGUGUGAUGUUAUUGUUUCAUUUGGCUCUGUUCUGGCAAUUUGGUUCUCUGUUUUCUCUUUUUGUUGUAUUGUUCGGAUCUGGUGGCAGAAACAAUGAGGAAAAAUGAAUCAAAUUGGAAGCCAUUGCAAAGGACAUCACCCAGUUUUGGUCCCGUCACUGCGGGGUUUUUAAGUAGGGAGCCUUUGGGAUUUGAUGAAGUGGUUGUCCGGAAGUUUGAACUUGGGCUAGUGGUACCGAUGCUUAAGCGUUUUAACUGCUAAACGAGACAAUGACCAUCACAUGGAUAUGAAUCAUGAUAAGAAAAGAGCCUAACGCAUUUUUUGAAGGAAGAAGGCCUUAUAAAACAAUGGGCUAGCCUGGCCUGCCUAUUUCCCAAACGGUGGCUUCUCUAUUUUUAGUACAAUUCUUGUACAUUUGGUUUACAUGGUUCAACAGGGAGGACUAGCUGCAAUAUUUUGUUCUUUGUUUUUUAAUUACAUUAAUAAUCCUAUCA